UACAGAGGUCCCAAGCGUUGUUCGGAUUCACUGGGCGUAAAGGGUGCGUAGGUGGCCAGGUAAGUUCGGUGUGAAAGCUCGGAGCUUAACUCCGAAAUGGCAUUGAAUACUAUCUGGCUAGAGGGUCGGAGGGGAGACUGGAAUUCUCGGUGUAGCAGUGAAAUGCGUAGAUAUCAAGUGGAACACCAGUGGCGAAGGCGAGUCCCUGGACAACUCCUGACACUGAGGCACGAAAGCUAGGGGAGCAAACAGG
rnacentral:rRNA from 1 species